UGUAUAGACGGUGAGCAUAAGCAGCAUCUUUAAGGCUAGGAGCCUAGAAUAAAUGAGAAACUGCUAUGUAAGUAAUGAUUUGGUGAAAGUGAAGUUAUAGAAGUUGUUUAGAUUGUUUUAACUAAACUGUAAUUAUCAUUGAAAUCACCUUUUUAGUUGGAAACGCUGAAAAGUAUGCGUGGAAGUUAACCCAAACAAUUCGGAUGUGGAUGCUAUUUCUCUUUUUAUGUUAGAUGUGUGCGAUGAUAUGGGUGUCUCAUUGAAUUGUAUUUUUUCUUUGCAGGUUGUGGACGGGAAACUAUCACAAACAUGCUACCUGAUGGUUCUUGAUUCAUGUUACAAGCGUUAUUGUAACAAAGUAUGAAAAGUUUGAAGGUAAACCAUUUUCAAUUUCUGAUGUUGACUCUUUCGUAUUCCAUUCUCCAUACAACAAGCUUGUGCAAAAAAGUUUUUCACGGCUAUAUUUCAAUGACUUCCUGCUUCAGUCUAGGUACAUUAUAUUUCAGUUCUGCACAUAUUAG